UGUGAGACUGCGGACGGCUCAGUAAAUCAGUGAUAAUCUAUUUGAUUUUCUCUCCCAUUGGAUAACCGUGGGAAAUCUAGAGCUAAAACAUGCGGUAUCUUGACAUGCUUUCGGGUAUGUCAAAGCAUUUAUUAGUCUAAACCAACUGCUUUGUUUAUUCAAAGUAAGGUGAAUCUGGAUAACUUUGCUGAUCGUAUGGCCUAGUGCCGGCGACGUUUCAAUUGAGUUUCUGCCCUAUCAACUUGUUGGUAAGGUAUUGGCUUACCAAGGUUGCAACGGGUAACGGGGAAUCAGGGUUCGAUUCCGGAGAGGGAGCCUGAGAAACGGCUACCACAUCCAAGGAAGGCAACAGGCGCGCAAAUUACCCAAUCUAGACAGUAGGAGGUGGUGAAGAGAAUUACCAAAUGGUGGUCCAAUGGAUCACUUGUUUGGAAUGAACGUAACUUAAGAAAUUCGUUGAUAAACAACUGGAGGGCAAGUCCUGGUGCCAGCAGCCGCGGUAAUUCCAGCUCCAGUAGUCUGCUUUAAAGUUGUUGCGUUUAAAACGCUCGUAGUUGGAUCACGCAGCAGUGUCCAGUUAUCUUUUGUUCAACUCAGUCGAAUGUGUCCGUCNCNGACGGCCAUUUGGUAGUUUUGACUCUAGAUGCAAUGCUGGAUGCUGUUAUUUGCACGUGAGAUAGAUUGUUGGCCUUAAUUGAGCCGGUAUUCUUGUCUUGCGGAGUGUGCCUUGAAUAAAACAGAGUGCUUAAAGCAGGUUUUUGCCUGAAUGUUAUAGCAUGGAACGAACAAUCGUGUAUAUGUGUGAGUCAUUGGAUAGUUACGAAUCUUUGGUUUGUAGUUGUCCGUGGCGCACACGGCACCCGCCUAAAUAUGUGUGUUGGUUACAUAUACGGUGAUGAUUAACAGAAGCGGUUGGGGGCAUUAGUAUUUGGCCGCGAGAGGUGAAAUUCUUAGACCGGCCAAGGACUAACUAAUGCUAAGGCAUUUGUCCAGACCGUAUUCAUUAAUCAAGAACGAAAGUGGGAGGUUCGAAGACGAUCAGAUACCGUCAUAGUUCCCACCGUAAACUAUGCCGACCUGGGAUCAGUUUGGAGAUAUGCAAGCUCUAAAUUGGUCCCUCUGGGAAACCUAAAGUUUUUCGGUUACGGGGAGAGUAUGGUCGCAAGGCUGAAACUUAAAGGAAUUGACGGAAGGGCACCACCAGGGGUGGAGCCUGCGGCUUAAUUUGACUCAACACGGGGAAACUUACCUGGUCCGGACGUCGAUAGGAUUUACAGAUCAAUAGCUCUUUAAUGAUCCGAUGAGUGGUGGUGCAUGGCCGUUCUUAGUUCGUGGAGUGAUCUGUCAGUUUAAUUACGGUAACGAACGAGACCACAGUCUCUAUUUAAAAGAUGGAAGAAGGUGUCAUUUACGCAGUCGCAAGGCUGUGUAGGUGUUGCUGUCAAGAGGGUAGUGU
rnacentral:rRNA from 1 species